ensembl:lncRNA
GGAGGGGGCAGGAGAAGAUAUUUUGUUCUACUUGUUCACUCUCCCUUUCUCCUUCACCACCCUCUGAGCUAGUUACGAUAGUUCUCCAAGAUGUUGAAUAUCCUUGGGAUACUCAGACCAGCCUGCUCUUGUUGUUAUGUCUCCUGAAUGCGCUUCAGGUUUUGUUGAGGGUUAAACAACUACUUCGGAAUCUCAUCCGGAGAUCUGUCUUGAGGUGGGAUAGUUGCGAGUGGCAGGGAGUGUGGGAGGAUAUGGGCAGGCAUCUAGAGCAGUGGGCACCUCCAGUGCUUUGGAAAUUCACCCCUGAACAACUGCAAAAUCCUAAAAAGCUGGCAGAAUGCUUGAAAAAAGUGUGUCAUGACUCUGGCAGUUCCAAAGUGACACAAAUGACUGUAGCGUGCUGGGGUCUGGCUUGUGCCUAUCAAGCUGCAAUUGAUGCUACUAUCAACCUAGUGACAGACCCUGCGACCACUCCAGCUUCUGCAGUCGCUCCAGCUCCUGCAGCUGCUCCAGCCCCUGCAGCCGCUCCAUCUCCUGCAGCCGCUCCAGCUCCUGCAGCUGCUCCAACCCCUGUGAUGAGCCCAGCGUGUAUUCCAACCCCUGUGGCAGGCCCUGUGGCUGGGUCAGAGAAACGAGCUGUAGCAGUGCAAGUUGCCCCUGUAGACAAGGUGAAAAAAUGGUAUAGAGAUUCAGGUCAUUUAGAACGCAGACAGUCUUCUGCUAAGUCUGGGCAUAGUGAAGACGAGGCUGGGCCAUCAAAGGUGCAGGAGGAUGAAGAUGAGGAUGUCAAAAAAGCAACAGUAAUUACCCGAACCAUAUACCAGCGUGAGCUACGAGAUAUGCGAAAAGAUUUUGGUCGCUGCAUAGGUGAGCAGCUUGUCACCUGGCAGCUCCGGUGCUGGGACACCGGAGCCAAUUGUGUGGAAUUAGAGGGCAGGGAAGCCAGGCGGCUGGGAUCCCUUGCUAGAGACACAGGCACUGACAAAGCAAUUGGAGAUGGAGCACCACUUUACAGCCUCUGGAGGCGUCUCCUGUCAGCUGUGAAGGAAAGGUAUCCCUUCCAGGAAGAACUUGUAUGUCUACCAGGCAAGUGGACCACCAUGGAGAAGGGAAUCCAGUACCUGAGGGAAUUAGCCGUACGGGAAGUAAUUUAUAAGGACCUAGACGACGGACAAAUAUCCACAGAUCCAGAUAAAGUCAAGUGUACACGACCCAUGUGGCGGAAGUUUGUACGGAGUGCACCAUCAUCAUAUGCCAGCUCAUUGGCAAUAAUGGCCUGGAAAGAGGAUGAGGAACCCACAGUGGAUGAAGUGGCUAAACAACUCCGGCAGUACGAAGAAAGUCUCCCCUCUUCCCUACAGGCCUGCGUCUCGGCUGUGGAGAAACUUUCUGAAGAGUUCUACCAAACUAAAGAGAGUUUAUUUUCCUCCCCACCUGUACAAACCAGUGUCUCAGCUAUCAGGGGUUUACCCCUUCAUCUGCGCAAGGAAGACGAAAUGGAGUGUACACACCCCAUGCCACCCUGUCGUUUUACCUACGUGACCAUGGAGAGGACAUGAGAAAAUGGGAUGGAAAAUCUACCUUGACCCUAGAGGCACAGAUACAUGAGUUGCAAAGAAAAGCAAUCACAAAAGGGGGGUUCUCUGAGAAACUUCCUGCUCCAAUUUCCAGCGGGCAGUCCCCCAGACAUAGUAAUGAAGAUUAUGACCAGGAGUAGAGGGGCCCUGCCUCCAGCCAGGGGGAGGAAAGGGACAAUCGCGUUUAUUGGACUGUGUGGAUUUGAUGGCCUGGCACGUCAGACGCACAGAAGUAUAAGGCUUUGGUAGACACCGGUGCACAAUGUACUCUAAUGNNNN